rnacentral:rRNA from 1 species
GCAACCCUUUUCCUUUUUUUGCCAGCGGUCCCGGCCGGGAACUCAAAGGAGAUUGCCAGUGAUAAACUGGAGGAAGGUGGGGAUGACGUCAAGUCAUCAUGGCCCUUACGACCAGGGCUACACACGUGCUACAAUGGCGCAUACAAAGAGAAGCGACCUCGCGAGAGCAAGCGGACCUCUUAAAGUGCGUCGUAGUCCGGAUUGGAGUCUGCAACUCGACUCCAUGAAGUCGGAAUCGCUAGUAAUCGUGGAUCAGAAGGCCACGGUGAAUACGUUCCCGGGCCUUGUACACACCGCCCGUCACACCAUGGGAGUGGGUGCAAAAGA